rnacentral:tRNA from 1 species
ACGGCUAUGGCGGAAUUGGCAGACGCGCAGGAUUUAGGUUCCUGUCCGAGAGGGUAUGGGUUCAAGUCCCACUAGCCGUA